rnacentral:rRNA from 1 species
GACGAACGCUGGCGGCGUGCCUAAUACAUGCAAGUUGAGCGCUGAAGGUUGGUACUUGUACCAACUGGAUGAGCAGCAAACGGGUGAGUAACGCGUGGGGAAUCUGCCUUUGAGCGGGGGACAACAUUUGGAAACGAAUGCUAAUACCGCAUAAAAACUUUAAACACAAGUUUUAAGUUUGAAAGAUGCAAUUGCAUCACUCAAAGAUGAUCCCGCGUUGUAUUAGCUAGUUGGUGAGGUAAAGGCUCACCAAGGCGAUGAUACAUAGCCGACCUGAGAGGGUGCUCGGCCACAUUGGGACUGAGACACGGCCCAAACUCCUACGGGAGGCAGCAGUAGGGAAUCUUCGGCAAUGGACGAAAGUCUGACCGAGCAACGCCGCGUGAGUGAAGAAGGUUUUCGGAUCGUAAAACUCUGUUGGUAGAGAAGAACGUUGGUGAGAGUGGAAAGCUCAUCAAGUGACGGUAACUACCCAGAAAGGGACGGCUAACUACGUG